UACGUAGGGUGCAAGCGUUGUCCGGAAUUAUUGGGCGUAAAGAGCUCGUAGGCGGUCUGUCGCGUCGGCUGUGAAAACUCGGGGCUCAACCCCGAGCUUGCAGUCGAUACGGGCAGGCUAGAGUUCGGCAGGGGAGACUGGAAUUCCUGGUGUAGCGGUGAAAUGCGCAGAUAUCAGGAAGAACACCCGUGGCGAAGGCGGCUCUCUGGGACGGUACUGACGCUGAGACGCGAAAGCGUGGGGAGCGAACAGG
rnacentral:rRNA from 1 species